CAACGUGGGUACCUACCUUGAGGUGAGGAAUACCACCGAGAAAUCGGUGACAAGACCGCAUGACUUCUCUUGCGAGAAGAAAGUUUCUCUUCGGAGAGACGCCCCAAGAUGGGCCUGCGCCUGAUUAGCUAGUUGGUGAGGUAACAGCUUACCAAGGCGUCGAUCAGUAGCUGGUCUGAGAGGAUGAUCAGCCACACUGGGAUUGAGAACGGCCCAG
rnacentral:rRNA from 1 species